rnacentral:rRNA from 1 species
UACGUAGGGGGCUAGCGUUGUCCGGAUUUAUUGGGCGUAAAGAGCGUGUAGGCGGCCAGGUAGGUCUGCUGUGAAAACUCGAGGCUCAACCUCGAGACGUCGGCGGAAACCAUCUGGCUAGAGUCCGGAAGAGGAGAGUGGAAUUCCUGGUGUAGCGGUGAAAUGCGCAGAUAUCAGGAGGAACACCAGUGGCGAAGGCGACUUCCUGGCCUGUUCUUGACGCUGAGGCGCGAAAGCUAGGGGAGCAAACGGG